GGUUAGAUAACAUAACGGUAAUGUAAGAGAUUGCAAAUCUUUUAAUGACAGUUCAAUUCUGUCUCUAACCU
rnacentral:tRNA from 1 species